ensembl:miRNA
ACACCCGGCUGGCGUCAACUCUGAACAGAUUCUCGGCAGAUGAAGUCCAUCGGGAAG